GAAUUCGUGGUGUAGUGGUCAGUACGCUCGACGAAUAAUUGAGAGGUUCGUGGUUCGAGUCCCGGCGAAGGCG
rnacentral:tRNA from 1 species